UCAGCGACUUAUAUUCUGUAGCAAGGUUAACCGAAUAGGGGAGCCGGAGGGAAACCGAGUCUUAAUUGGGCGUUAAGUUGCAGGGUAUAGACCCGAAACCCGGUGAUCUAGCCAUGGGCAGGUUGAAGGUUGGGUAACACUAACUGGAGGACCGAACCGACUAAUGUUGAAAAAUUAGCGGAUGACCUGUGGCUGGGGGUGAAAGGCCAAUCAAACCGGGAGAUAGCUGGUUCUCCCCGAAAGCUAUUUAGGUAGCGCCUCGUGAAUUCAUCUCCGGGGGUAGAGCACUGUUUCGGCUAGGGGGCCAUCCCGGCUUACCAACCCGAUGCAAACUGCGAAUACCGGAGAAUGUUAUCACGGGAGACACACGGCGGGUGCUAACGUCCGUCGUGAAGAGGGAAACAACCCAGACCGCCAGCUAAGGUCCCAAAGUCAUAGUUAAGUGGGAAACGAUGUGGGAAGGCCCAGACAGCCAGGAUGUUGGCUUAGAAGCAGCCAUCAUUUAAAGAAAGCGUAAUAGCUCACUGGUCGAGUCGGCCUGCGCGGAAGAUGUAACGGGGCUAAACUAUGCACCGAAGCUGCGGCAGCGACACUAUGUGUUGUUGGGUAGGGGAGCGUUCUGUAAGCCUGUGAAGGUGUGUCGUGAGGCAUGCUGGAGGUAUCAGAAGUGCGAAUGCUGACAUAAGUAACGAUAAAGCGGGUGAAAAGCCCGCUCGCCGGAAGACCAAGGGUUCCUGUCCAACGUUAAUCGGGGCAGGGUGAGUCGACCCCUAAGGCGAGGCCGAAAGGCGUAGUCGAUGGGAAACGGGUUAAUAUUCCCGUACUUGGUGUUACUGCGAAGGGGGGACGGAGAAGGCUAUGUUGGCCGGGCGACGGUUGUCCCGGUUUAAGCGUGUAGGUGUGUGUUCCAGGUAAAUCCGGUUCACUUUAACACUGAGGCGUGAUGACGAGGCACUACGGUGCUGAAGCAACAAAUGCCCUGCUUCCAGGAAAAGCCUCUAAGCAUCAGGUAACAUCAAAUCGUACCCCAAACCGACACAGGUGGUCAGGUAGAGAAUACCAAGGCGCUUGAGAGAACUCGGGUGAAGGAACUAGGCAAAAUGGUGCCGUAACUUCGGGAGAAGGCACGCUGACACGUAGGUGAAGUGAUUUACUCAUGGAGCUGAAGUCAGUCGAAGAUACCAGCUGGCUGCAACUGUUUAUUAAAAACACAGCACUGUGCAAACACGAAAGUGGACGUAUACGGUGUGACGCCUGCCCGGUGCCGGAAGGUUAAUUGAUGGGGUCAGCGCAAGCGAAGCUCCUGAUCGAAGCCCCGGUAAACGGCGGCCGUAACUAUAACGGUCCUAAGGUAGCGAAAUUCCUUGUCGGGUAAGUUCCGACCUGCACGAAUGGCGUAAUGAUGGCCAGGCUGUCUCCACCCGAGACUCAGUGAAAUUGAACUCGCUGUGAAGAUGCAGUGUACCCGCGGCAAGACGGAAAGACCCCGUGAACCUUUACUAUAGCUUGACACUGAACAUUGAGCCUUGAUGUGUAG
rnacentral:rRNA from 1 species